GAAUGAAAUGAUGAUUUAUGUUUGUUUCCCGAUUGGUUGGAUAGCCGAGAUGAUGGCAUCUUCCAGUGCAUUAGCUCUAUCUGAUCAUUC
rnacentral:snoRNA from 1 species